UACGAAGGGUGCUAGCGUUGUUCGGAAUUACUGGGCGUGAAGCGCACGUAGGCGGGUUUGUGAGUAGGGGGUGAAAUCCCCGGGCUCAACCCGGGAACUGCCUUCUAGACUGCAAGCCUGGAGGUCAGGAGAGGCGAGUGGAAUUCCGAGUGUAGAGGUGAAAUUCGUAGAUAUUCGUAGGAACACCAGUGGCGAAGGCGACUCGCUGGACUGAUAAUGACGCUGAGGUGCGAAAGCGUGGGGAUCAAACAGG
rnacentral:rRNA from 1 species